rnacentral:rRNA from 1 species
UACGUAGGGUGCGAGCGUUGUCCGGAAUUAUUGGGCGUAAAGAGCUCGUAGGCGGUUUGUCGCGUCUGCUGUGAAAACGCGAGGCUCAACCUCGCGCCUGCAGUGGGUACGGGCAGACUAGAGUGCGGUAGGGGAGAUUGGAAUUCCUGGUGUAGCGGUGGAAUGCGCAGAUAUCGGGAGGAACACCGGUGGCGAAGGCGGUUCUCUGGGCCUGUACUGACGCUGAGGAGCGAAAGCGUGGGGAGCAAACAGG